rnacentral:lncRNA from 1 species
AUCACUCAAUUAAAGAAGAAAAGGUGAGUGUAUUGUCAAUUAAAAAGCAUUUACAUUUCACCUAACCCGGCCCAUUUAACCCUUUCACUGACCUAUUUUCCAACCCUUUCAUUUAUCCCCAAAUCAAUAAGAAAUCCCACCAGAAGUGAACAGCGAGGAAAAUUUUUGGGAAUUUGUCAACGAGAAUUGUUGAGAUUAUUUUUAUCCCUCUUCGUCCGAAACCAAUUCCACCUUCCACGAUACAGUACCAAUCCUAAAAAUCCCACAAAGUACGGUGUCAUAGUGGACAACUUAUGGUGAUUUCUUCUUUGUUGAUUUGUAAAAUCUGCUUACCCACGACUUGCUAUGUCGUAGUGGGUUAAUUGAGGAAGGUAAAAUACUUUUCUACGUCUUUAUGCCUAAAUCUGAAUUUUAAUUACUUUUCAUAAUGGGUUGUUCUUCUCAUGUUGUUGUUAUAGUGUGGUUGAGACAUGGAAAAGUAAUUUGAUGUUCUUCACCAACUUAGGUCUGUACACUGAUUACGGAGCAUCUGCAAUGUCAUAGAGGUGGAAGAAAUGACUGAGAAAGGUAAAAUCCAUACUUUGCAGAAGAUGUAGUUCGAAUGUGUACAAUUGCGUAUGAAUUCAAUAUUCACUACUAGGUAACGUGUUAUUUCAAUUCUAGUAUAUCAAAAUCAUAUAAUUAUGAACAUAGUUAUGGUACUUGUUUCUUAAUUUUGUUAUAACACUAAUCUAUUCUCACUCAUUUUGCCGUAGGAAAAGAAAUAGUAGAUAUGAUGGACGACGAAGUAUUGGUAGAAUCUAAUAAUGAGAACUUGUUGGACAAUGUAAUCACGAUGAAAGGUGAUAAUUUAGGAGGAGAUGUUGUGAAUUUCCUAAGGUGGGUAUGAAGUUUAACGAUGAAAAAGAACUGUUUGAAUUCUACAAAAAAUAUGCCUACGACGCAGGUUUUUCGAUGAGGAGAAGAAUUCUAGGAAGGAUGGGGAUGGAAUAGUAUGAUAUGUUACACUGACUUGUAGUCAUGAGGGACGAAAAAGCUAUAACACAAGAAAUUUUUUAAGGCCACAACCAACAAUUCAGAUGGAUUGUAAAGCAAUGCUAAUUGCUUUCUCGAAUAUUCGUGGAAUAUGGAAAAUUUGCACAAUCGACCUCAAGCACAAUCAUAAAACAAGACCAUCGAAAUCUAGGUUGUAUCGUUACAACUGAGAAUUGAGUGCACAUGUGAAACGAAAGCAAGAGAUAAAUGAUACGGCCAGAAGAGUUACAACUCUGCAGUUGUUGAAGCUGGUGGAUAUAAGAAUGUGACGUUCAUAGAAAGUGAUUGUAGAAAUUGCGUUGAACAUGUGAGGCGAUUAAAACUAGGUGAAGGAGAUGUCGCAGCAAUACAAUCAUACUUUUCACUAAUGCAAGCAUCUUGCUUUGGGUUUUAUUUUUCUAUGGAUUUAGACAACUAGUCAUGACUUAAUAAUCUUUUCUGGGUGGACAAAAGGUAUAGGCAAGCGUAUAAGGAGUUUGAGAAUGUAAUGUUGUUUGACCAAUAUUCAAGCAUGGCAAUGCACAUCAAUAGGCGGUUGUGUCUUGUAAUGCAAGCACGUGAUGGUACUAUGGAUUUGUAGUUAGAAGCUAUAUGUUUAUGUCGGGGUUGUAAAGAAGUAUGAUGCAUUUGUUUGUCACAUUAAUAAGCUGUGCGUUUCAGUUUGUUUGUCGGGUUUGGCAUUCAUUUAUGUUACUAGUUUUCAUUGUAUAAUGUUUUAUUUUAUACCCUUGAGUCCAUGAAUUUUUUUGUAUUUAUUUUGCCUCCAUGCUUACUAUGCACAGGAAUGACUUAAUUUUGAGUAAUGGCCCAUCUUUGUGUCACAAUCAAUCCCAGUAAGUCUUGAGCUUCAUUGUUGUUUUUAUAGUUUCUUGUCUCAUUUUUUUUACUGGCUCAAUGUUCAUUAUAGUCAAUUUCGAAUAUUUGAAAUUCGAUUAUUAAUUUGAGACUUGAGUAUUACCACGGUGUUGAGAGUUGCGUGCUCCUAGUUGAAGCCAUUAUAUUGGAGUAGAGGAAGGUAAUUAAGUUGGAGAAAUUGAGUUGCAAACUACGAAAAAAACAUGGUCCUGUUAUGAAAUUGAAGAAAAGAAAAGAGAAUAAAGAAAAGUCAAUAGACUUGUGUGUCUUUUAUUAAGAAUCAAAGCCUUGUAUUUAUAGGGCAGAAUCAGAAAUACAACAAUAAUAAUUUUUAGAGUUGUAGGGGUAUAAUUGUCAUUCACCUCUAAACUCUAAUAAACUUACAUUUUACAACACUUUCCCUUGAAUGAUACAUUAUAAAAUAUCUGUCUCGCUAAAACAUUGUUUAAUAAAAACCCAAUAGAGAAAAAAUCAAAACGAAGGAAAAAGAAUACAGUUAUUUUGGAGUAAAAUAAAUGUUGCCUCAUUAAAACUUUGCUAGAAAAAUUCAAUGGGACAAAAUAUAAGCGAAAGAAAAAGAAUACAGUUACUCCCCCUGAUGUUGAUCACUGAAAAUAUUUGAGUCGACGCAUUCCAAUCUCAUGAACUAAUUUUUUGAAUGUAGAUGUUGACAGUGCUUUUGUGAAUAAAUCGAUCACAUCGUCACUUGAGUGAAUUUGUUAUAUAUCAAUGUCGUCGUUCUUCUGAAACUCAUGUGUAUGAUAUAUUUUUCGAGAAAUAUAUUUUGUCCUGUCACCUUUGAUAUAGCCCCCUUUGAGUUGUGCAAUACAAGUUGCACUGUCCUCGUACAAAAUUAUUACAUAUCCUUUCUUGAAGUUAACCUGCAUGAUGCUUAGAUAUAAUGGGUCAUGUCCUCAACCAUACACAUUAUUGACUUGUUUCAUGGAUUGCAAUAAUUUUAGAAUGAUUUGAUGAUGUUGCUAUCAAUAUUGCUUCACGUAUCUCCAUGAUAUAGCUGUUCCUUCACGUGUAAACACAUAUCCUGUUUGUGAUUUAGCUCUAUGUGGGUUUGAGAGAUAACAUGCAUCUGUAUAUCUCACUAAAGCGGAUCCUGACUUUUGAGAAUAAAAUAAUCUCAAAUCAAUAGUACCAUUUAGGUAAUGAAAUAUAUGUUUAACACCAUUCCAAUAAUUUUGAAUUGGUGUACAAUUAUAUUUUGCAAAGAAACUUAUAGAAAAAGUUAUGUCGAAUCUAGUGCAAUUUAAAAGAUAAGUUAAUGCUCCAAUUGCAUUAAGGUAUAGUAUUUUAGGACGAAGGACAAUUUCUCCAUCUUCAAGUGGACGAAAUGGAUCAUUUUUCACAUUGAAUGAUCAAACAACUAUGGUGAUGUCAGUGGAUGUGUAUUAUCGAUACAAAAGUGUUUUAAAACUUUUUUUGUGUAUAUAGAUUGGUGAACAAAAAAUCCAUCUACGAAAUGUUCAAUCUGCAAUCCAAUACCAAAUUUGAUCUUUCCCAAAUCUUUCAUCUCAAAUUCAUUUUUCAAAUAACUGGCAGCUUUGUUGAGCUCUUCAGGAAUUCCAAUUAAAUUUAAACUAUCAACAAUAAUUGUGAAUCCAAUAAUUGUUUUAUUUAUGAAAACAUAUGGACGGACAUGGUCAUUUUCAUAGCAUUCAUUCAACAAAUAUUCACUAAAGCGAUUAUACUACACACGUCCAGAUUGUUUUAAUCAAUAUAAUGAUAUAAGAAUAUGGUUCUCGGGCAUGUAUCAUUUGAAUAAUAUUUCAGACGUAUUAAAUCUUUCAAAGAUAACAUUAAUAAUCAUGUAUGUCAGAUCACUUGACGAUCAAGUAUUUCAAAUUUCAUGUAUCAUCAAGAUAACAUGAUAUACACUCGUGAUUUCAUCCAUAACGAUCUUUUCGAAAUUCACUCUGUUAAGAGUCGUGCAUUACACAAUACGACUUCAUUUUUCUCAUUUCCUUUUCGUAUAAGUAUAUACCUUUAAAUUUUCGAACUACAGGUCCAAAAAUUUCGUAUUUAUCUAGUAAAUUCAAUUUAAAAUUGUAUCUCAUUUUAUUUGGCCAAACAUUAUUUCGAUCGAUAUAUUUCGAUGCAUUUAUUUCAAUUCCUCAUGAUUCACAUAUGAUACUGUAUAUCAUGUACAAAAUUAUUGUCAACAACUUUUCUUUUCUCGUUCGAUUCUAUUUCUUUUUUCAUAGUGACAUAACUUAUUUAGAUAUCUCAGUUUUCAACAUAUUGGGUACUUGAACCUCUUCUGGGGUUUUAUAAUUUCUUAUGUCUAAAUACUCAAUAAGAGUAUAUGCCUCCUUAAUGAAGUCAUUUUUGCUAAUUGCUCUAUUUUCAUUUGAAGAUUUUUAUAUUAGAAUCGAAUACCAUUACACUUUAGGCGUACCAUAGAUAUAUCAAAUAUAACGCUAAUAAAUUGUCCCUUAAGACAUCAAUUCGUAUUGGAACAUUAAAAAUUGGUGCGUGAAAUAUUGUUGAUCUCUUUGAUCAAUAAAUGUAUCAAAAUAAAUUAUCUUUCGAACUUUUGGUUCGAAUGAUAUUUAGCAAGAAUUUAGAUAAUGAUGCAUUUAUACAUUAUUUUCAACUUCUUAAUUCCUCCUCUAAUGCUAAGAGAAUAGUCCAAUCAAAUUGACAAUCAUUUUUUCAAUGUUAUAAAAUAUCGUCAAUUUAAAAUAAUAGUUCAAACUACGUACUUAUUCUCAGCAUUCUUUAUUUUUCAUCUUAACGUAUUGCGGUGUUCAAUUUUUACAUAUACUACACCAUAAAAAAUAAUUAGAUAAAAAAAUUAGGAUCUGUCCAUAAGCUGAUUAUAAUAGAGAGAACUAUAAUUUUGGCAUGAUGUGUAAUAGAAUUUUCGAAAUAAAAAUGGGAAAUACUUUAUUUUCAAUUAAAUUAAUUGGAGACAUUUAACAAACAAUAGUGUUAAACCAUUUAUCGAUAUCUCAACUAGAUUUUAUUAAAAUAUUGAAAAUUAUGCCCACAAGCAUUAACAAGACAUAGUCUUAAUUAUAUAAUCUGAAAAUUAUGCUCAUAACUUGAGCAAUACUUUCGCAAAACUUCAAGUUGCGAACACCAUGCAAUCAUCUAAUAUUUGUAUCAAAUCUAUUAGAUACAAAUAAUAUUUAGAUGAUUAACAUGGUGGGUGACGAGGCUUCAUAUAUCACCAUAAUUAAUUUUCAGAAAUAUAGAAAAUUCAAUCUCUAUUUUGGCUAGCAAUGUUUAAUGAUCAAUUGUUGAUAAAGAGUACAAAUAAUAUAUAGGAAUUCAUUGGAUUGAAAAAUCUUAUGAUUCUUCAUUUAAUAUCCAUUAAAAAAAAUUAAUUUCGCAUCAUUAUUGAUCCAAUGAUGGCUCAACUAAUCAUGUCAAAUAAUAAAAUCAAAUCAAGCUUCUGGUUCAAUACAAUAUAUAAGUCAAUUAUUUAAUCUUGAAAAAUAUGAUUAAACAUUAUAUAAUCAUAUAUCAUUCAAGUGAUCAAACUAAUCGAUGUUCUAACGACAUUAGUUAUAUGUUUUCGUUCAUGAAUAAACAUGAAUUUAAAAUAAUAUAUUUUUCGAAACAUGUGUUGUUUUAAAAGCACGGUAUAUAUAUUUUUAUUAUUAUUGCUCAUUCAAAAGCAGCAUGUCAAUAUUCUUCUGAAAUAUUGAAAAUUAUAAUUUCUACUAUUCAGUAACAAUUAAUAUUCUUUAAAAAUAUUAAUUAUAAUAUUAUGCUAGUUCAUAACAUCAACAAACUAUACAUAAUAGAUAGAUUUUAAAUUAAUAUGCUUCUAGAAUAUUAAUUAUAAUAUCUUGCUACUUCAGGAGCAACAUGAUAAAUUGUUAAGUUAAAGUCUAUAUAAGAACAUCUUAAAUAUUUAAUUACCAUAUCGACAUGGUAUGAAUUUGCAUACAAGAAUUAAUCACAAAAAUGUAUCAGUAAAGAAAAAAUCUUUCAAGCAUGCACAUGAAAAGAAUAUUUAAUUACCAUACAAACAUGAUAUGAUAUAAAAAUUAAUUACCAAAUGAAUAAUAUAUGAAUUUAUAUUUUACAAUUGAUUACCAAACAUGUAUUAGGAAAAGUCAUCUCUAUACUUAGAAGUUUUAAAAAAUGGCUAAAUUACUUAUUGACUAAAUCUUUUACCAACAUGCAAAACAUAUUAAACAUGCAUUUGAAUUUCACAUAUCUAAAAAUUAAAGAUAGAACUAAUAUGCAACAGAUUCAAAAGAUAGAAUUAAUACUGAAUAAUAUGGAAAAAAUGAUCGUGUAUGAAUAAAAAAAAAGUGAAUUAAUAUGUGUUCAGAUUACACAUACAAACGUAAAUUAAAAUUGAUAUGCAUGUCGAUAAAAGGUAGAGAAGAAGAAUCAACCUCGUUAUGAUGUAUAUGUAUAUUGAAAUAGUUCAUAUGUUACCAAAUUAAUUUUGGUACAUGUAAUAAAUAUUCAUGUCUAUACAAAUUAUUACCUUCACUAAACUUCGAAAAAUUAAGUUAUCAUGCUGAUAACAUGUUAUGAAAUUGAAGAAAAGAAAAGAGAAUAGAGAGAAGUCAAUAGACUUGUGUGUCUUUUAUUAUAAACCAAAGCCUUGCAUUUAUAGGGUAGAAUCAAGGAUACAACAGUAAUAAUUUUUAGGGCUGUAGCGGUAUAAUUGUCAUUCACCUCUAAACCCUAAUAAACUUACAUUUUACAACAGGUCCUACAUUAUAGUAAUAAUUUCCUACGUGAGUAUAGAAUUUUAAGUAGGAUCUUCCUCGCUAGCUUCAAGGCUUCGUCAAGUUUGAUUCAGUUGUUUAUAAUGGAAAAGUUGGAUUUGAGGCAUAUGUAUCUUUAUCUAUGUCAUCAAUUUAAAGUGUUGGGUUGUUAUCAGUUAUAAAUUGCUAUGCUUGAUGUACUGAAGAGACUUCAAAUGGCAACAUUGGCAACCCCAAUUUCCUAAAUCGAGAAAGCAAGACUUACUUGUCAAUAUUUAGAGAUAAUUGCCACAGUAUCAAACUAAGGCACUAGAUAUGUACAAAUAUAUAGACAAAAGAAACCAUAAAACUCAAUAACUUCAUUACAUCCACAAUAUCCAAUUACCACCUUGCAUAUUGAACUAAUUCAUUGUCCCAUAAAAUGGACCACAAAGUGCUUUUAGAGUUCCGUUAAACUAGACAUCGAAUUUUAGAUAAAAUCUUUGGACACCCGUUUUCCCUUGCGCAUGUUGAUGUUGAGGGAAAUCUCCAAGUCUUUUUCCCAACAUAUGCGACAACUCUGCAACAAGUGCACCUCGCUUGUAGUGCCACUAGAUUCAUCGUUGUUAUGCAAUUCGCACUUUUCUUUGACGAAUUUUUUACACCAUUUAAAAUACUUGCAAUCACGAGUAUAACAAUGAAACAACUACCGUUUAUGUUUGAAGAAUAUUCAAUAUUUAUUCUUAUUUCAAUGAUAAAACAAUGUACAAUUUAUAGAAAAAAAUAGAAGGAAUAAAUCACUUCCUUAAAUCAAGGAAAGAUUUAAUUUCCUAAACUACUCUGCUGACUAAAUGCCUAAGAAUUAGAAUUGAUAAAAAUAACGCCCCUUAAUUGGGGAACUAAUUUAUAACUGUAGGAUCUCCUAGAAAUUAGGACUAAAAAUCAAGAAUUUUACUAGGUUAUAAAUGUUAACUGAACCUAGCUUGGAACUUAGUUCUUCAAAUGUUUUUCUUGGUACCGCUUUAAUGAGAAUAUAUGCAUUCUGUUGACAUGUUGGAGUGUAAAGUAGAGAUAUUAUCCCUGACUCUAUUUUCUCUUUGACAAAGUGUCGAUCAAUUUUCACAUGUUUCGUCUUGUCAUGAUGAAUUGGAUUCUUUGCUAUGAUGAUGGCAGAUUGAUUGUCGUAAUAUAUCUUCAUAAGAUCUGUAACUGGAAUAUUUAAUUCUUGAAAGACCCUUCUUACCCAUAUUGCUUCACACAUGCCAUGAGCUAAAGCUCUAAAUUCUGCUUCUGCGCUAUUUCGAGAUACAACAGAUUGUUUUUUACUUCGCCAAGUGACAAGAUUUCUCAAGGCGUAAUUGCAGUACCCAGAAGUUGAUCGUCGGUUAGUUAUGGACUUGGCUCAAUCUGCAUCAGCGAAGAUUUCAACUUCUCUGCUUGAAGUCUUCUUGAAGAAUAAUCCUUUGCUUGGAGUCAUCUUUCGAUACCUUAGAAUUCCAAAAAACAACCUCUAUGUGUUCUUCAGUUAGUUUAUUCAUAAAUUGACUCAUCUUACAAACAGAGAAACUGAUAUAUGGUCUAGUGUGGGAAAGAUAAUUAAGUUUCCCGACUAUUCUUUGGUAUUUAUCCUUAUCCACAAGUGCACUAUCUUUCCUUGUUCCCAGUUUGAUAGAUGAAUCCAUAGGAGUGUUAACAGGUUUACAACCAAGAAUUCCCGUUUCCUUCAGGAGAUCCAGUACAUGCUUUCGCUGAGAGACUGAUAUUCUUAUUUUCGAUCGCACCACUUCCAUCCCAAGGAAGUACCUGAGAUUGCCUAGAUCUUUAAUCUCAAAUUCUUUAGCUAAGAAUCCUUUGAGCUUGAAUAUCUCUUCUUCAUGAUCUCCUUAUCAUCUACAUACACAAUAAAAAUCACCCUUUUUUCUGUAGAUGAUUGUUUAAUAAACAUAGUAUGAUCUGCCUGACAUUGAGUAUACCCAAAGCUCUUUAAUCCUUUAGUAAAUUUGUCAAACCAUGCCCUUGGAGAUUGUUUGAGGCCAUAUAAUGAUUUUCUAAGCUUACAAACCUUGUUUAUAGUAGUUUGAGUCACAAAACCAGGGGAAAUCUCCUGUAGGUCUCCAUCAAGGAAUGCAUUCUUCACAUCUAGUUGAUAUAAUGGCCAAUCUAUGUUGGAGGCUAAUGACAACAAUAUGCGAAUUGUAUUAAGUUUGGCAACAAGAGCAAAUGUUUCUUGACAGUCAAUUUCAUAAGACUACGUAAAUCCUUUUGCUACCAAAUGAGUCUUGAAUCUGUUCACACUUCCAUCUGCAUUAUGUUUAACAGUAAAGAUCUACUUGCAUCCUACUGGACGUUUUCCAGUUGGCAGAUCAGAUAUUUCCCAUGUCCCAUUUUGUUCCAAUGCUCGAAUUUCUUCUAAAACUGCAGUUUUCCAUUCUGGUAGAGCAAGUGAUUCAUGUAUAGAAUUAGGAAUCUGCACUUUGUCAAGAUUGCUAACAAAUGCUCGAUAACCAGUUGACAGCCUAUUGUAUGAAAUAAAAUUACAGAUAGGAUGGAAGGUGUAGGACCUCAUACUUUUUCGCAAGGCAAUCGGCAAAUUAAAAUCAUCAUUAGUAAUUUCAAUAGGAGCCGAAUUGAAGCUGGUGUUACCUGGUGAAAUUUCUCAAGAUUCUCGAGUCAGGCUGGACUCAAAUUUAUGCUCAGGUGGUUGUUCUCUUCUUUACUGAGUUUUGUUUCUCCUAGUGUAGACAUGUAACUCACAAGAAUUAGCAGGGAUGCUUUGCUUUGGAAUUUGAGAUUCUAGUUCAGUUUAGAAAUUAAUGGUGUUGUCUGGGACUCUAAUGAUGGUAUGUCAACCUGACCAAUCAUGUUUGGAGUCUGAUUUAAUUGAGGAAUUUCAGUUGAAGGUAUAGAUAGAUAUGUGGUGAGAAAUGGAUUGGAAGUAUCAAUGUCCCAAAGCUGGUAUUCCCGUGUAAAGUUCUCCCAAAGCUGGUAUUCCCGUGUAAAGUUCUCCCCCUGAAUAUCAGAUUUGGGGUAAUAAGGUUGUUGUUCACAGAAAGAGACAUCCAUGGAGUUGUAGAAUUUUCUUGUAAUUGGAGAGUAGCAUUUAUAACCCUUUUGACUUGAGAAAUACCCAAUGAAGAUACAUUUGAGGGCCUUGGGAUCAAGUUUACUUUGAUGUUAAGGGUGUAUGUGGACAAAUACGGAACAACCAAAAUUUUUAAAUGGAAUGGUAGACAGGACUCGAAGUAGGAUAUGAUUGGAGAAGGACUUGGUAGGGUGUCUGAAAGUUCAACACUCGUGAGGGCAUUCUAUUUAUUAAAUAUGUAGCAGUUAAUAUUGUCUCUCCCCAAAAAAAUUUAGGAACAUGUGUGGUGAACAUAAGUGAUCAAGCAACUUCUAAAAGGUGCCUAUUUUUUCUUUCAGCUACCCCAUUUUGUUGGGACGUUCCACACAAGAACUUUGAUGAAUUAUGCCUUAGCUAACUAGAUAAUCUCCUAGGAUGGUGUCAAAAUAUUCUCUUGCAUUAUCAGUUUUUAACACUUGUAUUUUUGUCUGGAACUGUGUCUAGAUCAUAGUGUUAAAGUUUUUGAAAAUUUGAGGAGCUUCAAUUUUUUCUUUCAUAAGAAAUAACCAUGUAAUCCUAGAGUGAUCAUCUACAAAGGAUAUGAACCAUCUAGUUCUAGUAAUAUUUUUAAUUCUAGAUAGCCCUCCACCCCCCCCCCUCCCUCGCACACGUCACUAUGGAUAAAUGAGAAAGGAUGAGAUGCUUUGUAAGGUUUGAUGAAAUAAGAGAUGCGAAUAUGUUUUGCAAAUUGACAUACUUCACAUUGAAACUCCUUUGGAUUUUUAUUAUUGAAUAAGGAAGAAAAUAACUUCUGAAGAUACAAGAAAUUUGCAUCACCUAAAUGGUAGUGCCACAACAUGAUUUCAGUAUCUUUAUUGAAUUGACCAAUGGAAACAAGGCUUUGAGAAAACUGACUCUUGGGCUUUACACUUUCUGCUUUGUGAGUUUGUCCAAGAGAUUCUUCAACUCUAAGAAGAUAAAGAACUGAGCACACCUCAGCGCUGCCAAUCAUCCUCCUCGGAUCCAAAUCUUGAAAUUCACACAAAUUUGAAUAGAAUUUAGUAACACACUUAUCUUCUUGAGUAAGCUUACUAACUGACAGGAGAUUGCAAUUCAAUUUUAGUACAUAAAGCACUGAAUUUAGUGUGAGAUUUCUGGAAAUAAUAAUAGAACCUGUGCUAGCAACCUUCGUGACUGAUCCAUCAACUAUUUUUACAGUAAAAUUUUCACGACAUGUAUUAUAUUGGUCAAAGAGAUUAAUAGCUCUAGUCAUGUGAUCUGAUGCACCCGAGUCUAAAAUCCAUGGAUUUAUUUUUUAUUUAUUUGCUGUAAGAGCGCUUAAAGAAUUACCUGUGUGUGCUAAGGACCCGGUUCCAAUUAUGUUACCAGGUGGGGCUUGUGAUGACUGUGAAAACAUCUUUUGUAAUACUUCAAGUUGCUCUUUACUGAAAGGAUUUGGUUUGGUUGCUGUGGUGCUUUCAUCAGUGAAGACAUGAUUUCUUCGUUUUUCUUUGUUGAAAGUUGGUCUUGUGGGCUUCCAAUCUACUAGUUUACCAUGUAUUUUGCAGCAAUUAUCAUCAGUGUGUCCAGGUACUUUGCAAUGAUUACACCAAGGUCUACCAUUCUUUUGUCGAUAGUCACUGUUGUGGUGUUGUCCUACGUGUAAAGCAAGAGCUGAAUUUUCAAUGAUUGGGACAGUAGAUGGAGAUCCAAGCAUUAUCUUCCUUCUGCUUUCUUCAUGACGUACUUUUGAAAAUGUCUCCCGGAUGUUGGGCAAUGGUUUCGAUCCUAGAAUUCUUCCCCGAACUUCAUCAAGGUCCUUGUUAAGACCCAUUAAGAAUUUUAAAAAAAUUUCUUUUCAGUAAUUUCCCUAUAUUUUUUGCAUCUAUGGGGCACUCCCAACUAUGUUCUUUGAAAACAUCCAAUCGUUGCCAAUGAAGAGUCAGAAUAUUGAAAUAUUGAGUUACCGAUAAAUUACCUUGUCAAAGGUCAUGGAGAACAGUUUCAAUCUCAAAUGAUUCUGAGGUAUUUUCAUUACAGGAGUAGAUUUUCUUUGCUGCAUCCCAUAUCUCUUUAACAGUGUUGUAGAGUAGGAAAUUUUCUCCAAUUUCAUUACUCAUAGAAUUGAUCAGCCAAGACAUGACCAUAUUAUUUUCUGACUUCCACAGUUUGAAUUUAGGAUCGAUGGUUGCUGGAGGAGUAGACACUCUAAUAAAUGUGUUUUUAUACAUUUAUUUAGUUCACAAACAUGACGUAAUUAAGAGCAAAACAUUGGAAUUGUUAUUUAAUUUCGAUUAAUUUGUGUAUCGUAGGACAUACCGAUGAACAUGGUGAAAUUCAGGAGAAAAGAGGCAAAAAAUGACUAAAUUGGAGCAAAGUGAAAGUUUAGGGACCAAAGUGCAAUUAUCUGAAAGUUGAUCCGAUGGACACAUCAAGCAAUUGAUUGAGCAAAGUACUAAUUAAAGAUCAUAAUGAAACAGUAGAACAACUAGAAACACGAAAGGAGGUCAAGAAGUAGAGAAGUAAAGUUUGAGGACCAACAUAACAAAAUUUGAAAAUUUGCUCUACUAUGCGGUCGUAUAGUAGAAACCCCUAUGCGGUCAUGAACACCAAGGCGGGAAUUAAUUCGCCAAAUUUCAUAAACCUAAACGGUCGCAUAGGCAUAUUCUGAAGGUCGAUUCUGCAGUUUCCUAUUCGCGAUAAAAUUCUUAUGAAAACCUAAUUUAUACACGAUAUAAAUACCCAAAUCUGCCAGAAACAAAGGAGAACGCAUUGGGAGGCAAAAAAACCACAUAUUGGAGAGGAUUUUGAGCGCAAGUAACGAAGAAUUACACAAGGAUUUUCAAGAUUUAUCAAGUAUUCAUAAUCCGCUGAUGUUCUUUUCUUCAAAAUCUGAUAUAUUCUUAUAAUUUAUCAAUGCUAGGCUAGAUUUUCAUGUACUAUGAGAUCAAUGUACCAUGUGGUUUAAUCUUUAAUUUUCAAGUUUCACAAUUUGAUAUUAAAAACACAUUUUGAUUGUUUUAAAUGAUUUAUAUGCAAUUUGUGUUCCUGCAAUUAAGGGCCCGUAAUUGUGUGAGUUUAGGUGGCUUAUUCUUGCAUUCGAGAGAAUUGGAAUAGGUUUGACAUAAUGUAAAUCAUCGCAGGGUCCGAUUAAGGAUAGAAAUAUACCGCUAUGCCCUAUGUGAAUUUUUAAGUGUUCACAAGACUACAUGAAUUUUUAUAUACGCACUUGUCAUAGAAAUAUAGGCCAAUGUUAUGUAAAAAAUAGGUUCGAUACAUCUUGAGAGAGGGUAUUAGAUAGAUUAGGAGCAUUAAUUCGUCAAUAAUUUAAGUGUGUUGUCACAUUUUAAAAUUAGGGUUUAAUGUGAUAAUUGCAUGGGAAAUCAUGAUCCUAAUGUUUUUAAUUUCCAUUGAGUACAACCAAUUCACGCUCUAAUAUAUAAUUUGCAUUUUAAUUCAUUAAAAUAUCGUUUUGCAUAGUUGAGUUCAUUUCAAUCUUCAAUUUUGCAUAGUUAGGAUUUUCAUCAAAUUAGAGUUUUCUUUCUAAAAUUAAGGUUUAUUUAAGUAAAUCUUCAUAUUGAGUAAUUUCGUUUCAGUUAAGGCCACACUAGGUAAAAUUGAACUACUCAAUCUUUGUUGGACGAUAUUUAGACUCUAAAAAUUCACUUUAUUACUUGUUAGCGAACCGUGCACUUACGGUGAUUUAAAACGAAAGAAAAUAUUUUGUGAAUAAGUUUUUGGGACCGUUAUCAGGGAUUGAGUAUUCGUUUAAUUUUAUCUAAAUGGACACUAAUUCGGACAUUCAUAUUUACAUUUCUUGUUAUUUUGUUGUUUUCAAUUAAUUUCAUUUUGGUUUGGUCCGGUUAUUAUUUUAUUUUAACAUCUAAGCAUUCCUAUUAACUCUACUCGAAGACUUGCAUGCUAAGAUCUGCUGAAGGAGAAUUGACACCAACUGAUCCAGAAAUCGAACGAACUUUCAUCGAAGGCAGCGAGAAAAUAGAGAGGCACAUCAACGAAUGGCUAACGUGCAGAAUAAUCCAAUUUUUCAGGCCAAUGAAGAAGGGGUAGCGGAGGAAGGAAAUAUGCUCGUAGGAGAUUUCAUGACCCCUCAAAUAAUUCAAAGCCAGUCAAAUAUCGUAUAUCCACCGUUUGGACAACUGAACUUCCAACUAAACACUAAUGUGAUACAAUUAUUUCAGAACAGUCAUCAAUUCUAUGAAAGGACUGAAGAGAAUCCACACAUGCAUGUUUCUCGUUUUCUGGAGAUGUGCCAACACUUCAGAUAUCAAUGAAUUUCAGACGAUACAAUAAGAUUAAGGUUAUUCCUACAUACACUGCGUGACAAGGCAAUUAAAUGACUGGAUUUGCAACCAAUCGCAAGUAUCACCACAUGGAAAUGAUGUAGUCCAAAAAUUCUGCACUAAGUUCUUCCUUGCUAAGAUUGCAAAGCUCAAGCACGACAUCUCUGUUUUUCGCCAAGGCGACUCGAAAAAUUUCGAUGAAGCCUGGAAUCGGUUCAAGAAUAUACUGCGAAAGUGUCCACACCAUGGGAUUAGCAAGGGACUUCAAGUCCAAUACUUCUAUGCGGGAUUACUUUCGGCCUUUAAAAACAUGGUUGACUCAUCAUCGAAUGGAUCAUUGUCCACAAAGACAAUUGAUGAGGCACUGAAACUUUUCGAAACCAUGGCCAUCACUUCAGCUAUGUGGACAUCGGAAUGAGUAGUUCAGAAGAAAACACCUGGGGUCUAGGAAGUGGACGUCUAUUCCGCCUUGUCAGCAAAAAAUGAUUCAUUAUUUCACAAGGUGGGAAACAUGACACAAUUAGCUACUGCAACACAGUAAAAAAAGGCCAGUUGUGAAGAAUGUGGAGCUGAGCAUGUAAUAGCAGAGUGUCCAAUCUUGGUACAAGGAGUAGAGCAAGUAGAUUUUGCUCAAUAGGGACAACGACAACAAAAUAACACAUAUGGGGAAACAUUUAAUCCGAGUUGGAAGAAGCAUCCAAACUUCUCUUGGAGCAACCAGAAUAAAAACAAGUCACAUGGACAAUUUCAACAGCAAGAGAAGAAACCUCAGUUGGAAGAAAUGAUAAGAAAAUUCAUGGAGAAGGUUGAAGCUGCACUUCAUAACCAAAAUACAGCUAUCACAAAUUUGGAAACUAAGGUGGAACAAUUAGCCAUAGCAUUAACUGGCAGAGCACCGGGAAACUUGCCAAGUAACACGGAAAUAAACCGAAGGAGCAUGCUAAGGCAAUUACAACUCGAAUUGGAAAGCAGCUACCAGAAAUCCAUGUAAAAAGGCCAGUGUAAAUCAAGAAACAAAAUCUCCAACUACAGAAAAACCUAUAGAGCAUGAUAAACAGAUGGAAGAAUCUACCCCAGCCGAAAAACUGGACAAAACACAGAGUAAAGCAACCAUUAACCCUCACGAACCUCCCAUACCUUUUCCACAUAAGCUGAAAAAGCAGAAGUUGGAGUAGCAAUACAAGAAAUUUCUUGAAGUUUUAAAGAAACUCCACAUCAACAUCCCACUCGUCGAUGCAUUAUUCCAGAUGCUUAGUUACGCAAAGUUCCUAAAGGAUCUACUAUUAAAUAAACACAAGCUAGGGAAUCACGAAACAGUAAUGCUAACAGAGGAAUGCAGUGCCAGAAUUCAGAAAAAGCUCCCACCAAAAUUGAAAGAUCCAUGGAGUUUUACUGUUCCUUGCACUAUUGGUGAAAUUCAUUUUGAUAAAGCUUUGUGUGAUCUUGGUGCAAGUAUUAAGUUAAUACCUCUAUCGAUUUUCAGGAAGCUUGGCUUGGGAGAGGCUAAGGCGACUACCGUAACGCUACAGCUAGCUGACAGAUCGUUAACACAUCCCAGGGAAAUAAUUGAAGAUGUGCUUGUCCAGGUGGAAAAAUUCCUAUUCCCUGCGGAUUUCCUAAUUUUGGACAUGGAGGAAGAUAAGGAUAUUCCAUUGAUACUAGACAGACCAUUUUUGGCAACAUGAAGAGCCUUGAUCAACGUUCAGCAUGGGCAACUGAUAUUGAGACUGGGAGAAGAGCAAAUCUCGUUUAAUGUUUUCAAGGCAAUGAAACUACCUACAGAGACAGAUAGCUGUUUCCAGAUCGACGUGAUUGAUAAGGUGAUCUAAGACUCGUUUAUGCUACACAACCCAUCAGAUGCAUAUAAAGCUUGCAUUGCACAUUCGCAAUGAACACAGUCUGAUUCGAUGGAGAUGGAAACUUGUGCAAGGUUUCUGGAUACCAACCCACCUUAUACGCGAAAAAGGCAUUUUGAGGAGCUUGGAACAGGACCUAUGAAACCACUACCAUCCAUUCAGUAGCCAUCGAAAUUAGAACUCAAGCAGUUACCACCACACCUCAGAUAUGCUUACUUGGGGGAAUCCUGUACACUCCCUGUGAUCAUUUCGAACACAGUCAGCGAAGUGGAAGAAGAGAAACUGCUUAGGGUGCUUAGGGAAAAUAAGACAGCAAUUGGAUGGAUCAUAGCAGAUAUCAAAGAGAUCAGCCACUCACUGUGCAUGCAUAAAAUUCUUAUGGAAGAGAAUUUUCGGCCAACCAUAGAAUGUCAACGAAGGUUAAACCCAAAUAUGAAAGAAGUAGUCAGAGCAGAGGUACUCAAAUUUCUUGAUGCUGGAAUCAUAUAUACAAUAUAAGAUAGUGCCUGGACUAGCCCAGUUCAGGUGGUACCAAAGAAAGGAGGAAUAAUAGUAGUGCCCAAUGAGAAGAAUAAGUUGAUACCAACCAGAACAGUUACAGGAUGGAGGGUUUGCAUUGAUUAUCGCAAACUCAAUGCAACAACAAGGAAAUAUCAUUUUUCCCUUCCGUUUAUAGACAAAAUGCUGGAGAGAUUGGCAGACCACUUACAUUACUGCUUCCUCGACAAGUAUUUGAGUUACAAUCAGAUACGAGUUGCACUGAACGAUCAAGAGAAAACUACAUUCACGUGCCCUUACGGUACUUUCACGUACCGCAUGAUGCAUUUCGGCCUUUGCAACGCCCCUGCUACUUUUCAACGUUGUAUGAUGGCAAUUUUCUUAAACAUGAUAGAGAAAUUUAUUGAGAUAUUUAUGGAUGACUUCUUGAUCUUCUUUGGGUCUUCAUUUGAGGAGUGUUUGGAACAUUUGAAUCUGGUAUUACAAAGAUGCAAGGAAAUCAAUUUAGUAAUAAACUGGGAAAAAUGUCACUUCAUGGUGCAAGAAAGGAUCGUACUUGGGCAUCGGGUCUCAGCAAAAAGGGAUUGAGGUGGACAAAGCAAGGAUUCAAGUUAUUGAAAAGUUACCACCACCAACAUCAGUUAAAGGAGUUCGCGGCUUCUUGGGACAUGCUGGAUUCUACAGGAGAUUCAUAAAAGAUUUUUCAAAAAUUACCAAGCUCCUCUGCAACCUGUUAAUGAAAGACGUGCCCUUCGAAUUUAAUGAGGAGAAACCCACUUCAGCGCCAGUAAUUGUACCACCUGAUUAGGAGUUCGAGUUAAUGUGCGAUGCUAGUGAUCAUGCCGUAGGUGCAGUAUUGGGGCAACGAAAGAACAAGAUUUCCCAUGUAAUAUAUUACGCAAGCCGAACAUUGAAUGAUGCCCAGAUCAACUACGCGACCACUGAGAAGGAGCUCUUGGCGGUGGUCUAUGCCUUUGACAAAUUCAGAUCAUAUCUCAUGGGGUAUAAGGUCAUAGUCUACACAAAUCACGCUGCAUUGAAGUAUCUAAUGACAAAGAAGGAUGUCAAGCCGAGGUUAAUCCGUUGGGUGUUACUGUUGCAAGAAUUCGACAUUGAAAUUAGGGACAAGAAGGGCAGUGAAAACGUGGUAGUAGAUCGCCUAUCGAGAUUAGAACAAUAAGAGCCAAAAACGUUAGUGGAAAUCAAUGAGAUUUUUCUAAAUGAGCAGAUGUUCAGUGCAGAAGAAGCCCCAUGAUAUGCAGAUAUCGUCAAUUAUUUGGCUAGAUCAAUCCCACCGCCAGAUUAUUAGAGUCACCAGAAAAAGAAGUUUGUCGAGCUGAAAUAUUAUUUUUGGGAAGAUCCUAUUCUUUAUGGGCAAGGGGCUGAUCAGAUUGUGAGAAGGUGUAUACUUGAAGAUGAAGUACCUGAAAUUUUUUAGCAUUGUCAUUUAUCUGCUUAUGCGGGACAUAUGGGGGCUUCAAAGGCUGCAACUAAGAUUUUACAAGCAGGGUUCUAUUGGCCUACAUUAUUCAGAGACACCUUUGAAUAUAUUAAGAGGUGUGAUAGAUGUCAACGCACUGGGAACAUCUCAAGAAGGAAUGAGAUGUCACUGAACAAUAUAUUGGAAGUAAAGAUAUUUGAUAUCUGGGGAAUCGAUUUCAUGGGACCGUUUCCCCAUCAUCUUCAAAUUAGUAUAUCCUUGUAGCAGUUGAGUAUGUGUCAUAAUAGGUGGAGGCAGUUGUAUUUGCAACAAAGGAUGUGAAAAAGAUAAUUGGAUUCUUGAAGAAAUACAUCUUCAUCAGAUAUGUCACACGCGAAUAAUAAUCAGUGAUGGAGGCAAACAUUUUUGCAAUCGCCAAUUUGAGCAAUUGUUGAGUAAAUAUGGGGUUAAACACCGAGUUGCAACCCCAUGUCGUCCACAAACCUGCGAGCAAGUCGAAGUGUCCAAUCGACAACUGAAGAGAAUAUUAGAGGUCACAGUAAAUUCAUCUUGAAAAGACUGGUAAAAAAAAGUUGGACAAUGCAUUGUGGGCAUACAAGACAGCAUUCAAGAUUCCGAUAGGCAUGUAUUCAUUCCGCCUAAUCUUUGGAAAAGCUCGCCACCUUCCAUUGGAAAUAGAACACUGGGCAUACUGGGUUAUGAAACAAUUGAACAUGGAUUUGAAAGUCACCGGUGAAAAGCGUUUAUUGCAACUCAAUGAGUUAGAUGAAUUAAGAAUGGAAGUAUAUGAAAACUCGAAACUUAUCAAAGAAUACAGCAAAAGGUGGCAUGAUCUACACAUUCAGAGACGAGAUUUCGAGGUAGGACAGAAAGUCCUGUUAUAUAACUCAAGGCUCAAGCUUUUCCCUGAAAAAUUAAGAUCAAGGUAGUCGAGCCCCUACACUGUCACUAAAGUUCUUCCAUAUGGAGCUAUACAUGUCAGUCAUGAAACAAAAGGAACAUUCACAGUUAAUGGGUAAAGGCUGAAACACUACUAGAGCGGGGAUUUCCCAAAACAAAAGUCCACCGUCCAACUUGGAACGCCAAAUUGACGCAAAAGUAGAAAAGUCGAGCUAUCAACUAUAAACUAACGUCGGGUGGGAGGCAACCCACUGUAUCCUUUGAUUUAUUUUAUCUUUGUUUGCAUUAGCUUAAGAAAUUUUAAUUUCACGUUUGCAUUUAUUGUUAAGUCAUCGAACAUCCUUGCAUGUGAAUAGAGUUUAAGCACCAUUCACAAAAGUCCCUAGGCAUUAAGUACAAGUUAAAACAGAAUGAAGUUGUUUUUGGGUGAUUGGGAGUGUAAUUCACACAUUUCAAGACAAAAUGUCGUUUUCAAAAAUUCAAAGGGCGAUGUGUUAUUGAGAGUUCAAGGUGAUUUUUAGCACUUCUGAGAACCCACACACACACAACAAGAAGCUUAAAAGUCUGACUUUAAAAAGUUUGGAGUGUUGAAAGGUCGAGUCACGAUGUUGAUUGAAAACUAAAGUUGGUCGAGAACAUCGUCUCAGGGGAAAAUCAAUUUUUUUUUUUACUUUAUUUUGUUUUGUCUUAUUCUAUUGUAUUUUAUUAAUUAAAAAAAACUGAUUAUGUCUAUGCGGUCGUAUAGGCAUAUAGUCUAUGUGGCCGCAUAGACUCAAUCAGGAAAAUUAAGGGGCCAAUUUUUUUGUUCUAUGCGACUGCAUAUAAUUAUACUAUGUAGCCACAUAGAAGAGGCUAGUCACAGGCUUUAACCCGUCUCUUGGUCUUUCAACUCUCAUUCUUCCCCAACUUUUGCAUGAACCCUAGACUCGAAAUUCCUCCUAUUCCACGUCCAAAUUCAAGCCAAGUCACAUUAGAUUCUCCUAAGUGCACACAACAAGAACAAAACACUUGGGAAAAACCACAAAAACACAACACUAACAAGUUGCAAAGGUAUGAAAUUCAUCCCCUUUCACGUCUUUAUGCUCGGUGUGAGGUUAUUUUCAAUUUGUUUUUGUAAAUUUAGGAGGAUGGGCUUAGGUAGAUGUUGGUUUAAGAAUUUGAUUGUGUUUUGUGCUCUCUAUGGAUUAAUUUCAUUCAUCCAUUUCUCCAAUUACUAUGACUUCUGGAUUGUGCACACCAUGUGUUCGAUAAAAUGCCUAAGUUAAAAUUCUAUUGCGUUUUUGUGCAUCUAGUGUGGCAUGUGAUUGAUGAUUGAAUGGAUUACCUUUUUGUGAUGAAUUACCACACAAUUUGAAUUAGAAAACACCAACACACAUGCACAUGGCUAGGUCACGGCUAGUCACGACACCCUAUGUCCCCUAUUUUACACCAUAAUUUGACAUACCAAACGAAAUUCAAUUAAUUUAAAAUUUGAGUAUGUACUAGACCUCAUCGAAUACUUCCCUAUACCCGAAGAUUGCCCAGGAAAAAUUGGAUAUUUCUCGACGAUGCUCGAGGUUGAAAGUGCGCACUCGAUCAUGGAUCAAAUUUUCAUAAAUGUGCAUGUUUGAGCCAAAUUUUGCUAGUUUUUCCUAUUGGCGCAAUAUUUCUACUAUCUUGAAUAUCAUGUUUUGAAUAUUGCACACCAAUAUGUUAUACAUGCAUGUUGAAGCAAGUUUGGGGGAUUUGUGAAAUACUUAUCUUACUGAUCUCAUUUCAUUUAUCGUUUUUCAACCAGAAGUUUAAUGAAUGCUAUUUUGUAACUUUGCAGGAUGCCUCCAAAACGAAUCUCGAAAGGGAAAGAAAAAGUUGGCUCAUCUUUCGGAACAGUCCGUACUCGAGUUCUUGAAGGCGGGA